rnacentral:lncRNA from 1 species
GGUCUCCCCCCCCAGGCUCAUGGCCACGUCGGGGCUGGACCGGAAGAUCCGGAUCUUCGACCUCCGGAAUUUCGGGAUCCUGCAGGAAUGGGGGGUCCCAGCGGGAGCUGCUGCCCUGGAAUUCAGCCAGAGGGGGCUCCUGGCGGCCGCCUGCGGGGACCUGCUGCAGGUGGGACCCCCAAAAACCACCCCAAAACACCCCUGGGACCCCCAAAACCACCCCAAAACACCCCUGGGAGCCCCAAAAACAGCCCAAAACACCCCUGGGAACCCCCAAAACAGCCCAAAACACCCCUGGGAGCCCCAAAAACAGCCCUGGGACCCUCAAAACCACCCCAAAACACUCCUGGGAACCCCAAAAACAGCCUUGGGACCCUCAGAAACAGCCCAAAACACUCCUGGGAACCCCCAAAACCACCCCAGAACACCCCUGGGAGCCCCAAAAACAGCCUUGGGACCCUCAAAAACACCCCAAAACACACCUGGGAACCCCAAAAACAGCCCUGGGACCCCAAAAAUCUGACCCAGGACCCCCCAAAAAAGCCCCAAAACACUCCUGGGACCCCCAAAACAGCCCAAAACACCCCUGGGACCCCCAAAACCAGCCUUGGGACCCCAAAAAUCUGCCCUAGGACCCCCAAAAACAACCCAAAAGACACCUGGGAACCCCAAAAAUACCCCUGGGAACCCCAAAAACUACCCCAAAAUACACCUGGGAACCCCAAAAACACCCCAAAACACACCUGGGACCCCCAAAAACAGCCCAAAAUACACCUGGGAACCCCAAAACCAGCCCAAAACACCCCUGGGAGCCCCAAAACCAGCCUUGGGACCCCAAAAAUCUGCCCCAGGACCCCCAAAAACAGCCCAAAACACCCCUGGGAGCCCCAAAAACAGCCCUGGGACCCUCAAAACCACCCCAAAACACUCCUGGGAACCCCAAAAACAGCCCUGGGACCCUCAGAAACAGCCCAAAACACUCCUGGGAACCCCAAAAACAGCCUUGGGACCCCAAAAAUCUGCCCUAGGACCCUCAAAAACAACCCAAAACACCCCUGGGAGCCCCAAAAACAGUCUUGAG